rnacentral:rRNA from 1 species
AUCUUUUCUCGUUAGUUUUUGAAGUAUGGCCUGCCCGCUGACUUUGAUGUUGAAGGGCCGCGGUAUUUUGACCGUGCAAAGGUAGCAUAGUCAUUAGUUCUUUAAUUGUGAUCUGGUAUGAAUGGCUUGACGAGGCAUGGGCUGUCUUAAUUUUGAAUUGUUUAUUGAAUUUGGUCUUUGAGUUAAAAUUCUUAGAUGUUUUUAUGGGACGAGAAGACCCUAUAGAGUUUGACAUUUAUAUGGUCUCUUUUCGUUUGUGAGGGUUCACUGGGCCAUUUAGUAUGUUUUGUUGGGGUGAUGGGAGGGAUAUAAUUUAACCCCUCCUUUGUGUUGUUAUAUUUAUUUAUAUUUGUUUGAUCCAUUUAUUUUGAUUGUAAGAUUAAAUUACCU